CACACCAUGUGAGCAAAAUGCCAAGAGUGGAGACAAAAGGCACUAGGAAGUUUCUGGGAAUGCUUCUUCCUUUAAACUUGAAAAGAAAAAAGAAAACCAAACCAAACCACCACUAUCAUUCCCCUCCCCUGCUCCUCACCCCGCCCAUCCCAGGCUCCGCCAAAGGUCUUUUCAUUCAAGUACUGCCAACAGCCCCCACCCAUAUCAGUGGCGCCUCUGGCUACUGAGAAGACCCCAGACAGAGGGCUUGGGGGCGGGUGCCAAGAGAAAAUAAACGCUGGUCCCGCCGCCCCCAACAGCUCAGUGGUCUCUCCCUAUGUGGCGCCCAACUCAACAUGGCACGCUGCCUGUGCAGAGAGAAAGUGGGGAAGGACAGGCCAGGGAUGGGACACUUGAAGUCCAUCACUCAAUGUCACAAAGCUAACAGAGAGAGAGGGCAAAGCCCACCCAGGCUGGCCUGGAGUACGACCUGGCAAAUGCAGACAGCCGUCCAGAAAGCCAUCGUGUUUAACAAAAAAAAAGAGGGCGGGGCGGAGGAAAAUACACAUACAUGCAUGUCAGAACAGGCAGACAAGAGCAGAGACCAUUUUGAAACGCACAAAAGUCCUGAAGCCCUAUGUUGUGUACCAGCAACUGCCAGCACUGGAGGUCAAACACACUUCAAGAACAAACUCACAGAGAGAGAGAGGAGGUCUGUGGUUACCCGGCGCAAAUCAGGAGGGGGAGCUGGAGGAAGGUGGUCAAAGGCACAAACUGGCGGUUGUAAGCUGCCCCUAGAUUCUGGAAGAUAUAUAUACCUACACACACAUUCAUUCCAUCCCCCUCCUGGAGGCUGGUAGACUUUGCCAGGUGUUACUGUUUUCUUAUGAAGUAACAGAAGAGUGAAGAUCAUGAGUAUUUAUAGAAGAGGCUUAAAGAAGAAGUCAAAGGUGUAAUCCACCAGGUCAUAAGCUGCAACAUCACCAAACAGGAAUUCCUACAACACUGGAAAAAACCGCACCUCUGGCUUCUCUGUGGAGAAGCAUCACCCUGUGACACAUGGACGUGAUCUCCUGAAGGGGCGGAGCUGGCCCUGUCUGAUGGACAUCAAGAUAGUGUCUGCCAACAGCCAAGAGGCUGCUCGGGGCACCACCCAGCUAAGCUUCUGGUUAUUCCACUUGUGCAGGCUCAGUUCAGUGGCUAGAAAGACAGAGAAAAGGAGGCAGUGACGAGGCCAAGGUCAUUCAGAGUAGGUGACAGCCAGCAAGAGCACCCAAGAGUUUUUACUUCCAAUCACAGGACGCAAACACAUGUCCCUCAUCUGGUCAAAGUGCCCUUGAGUCAGGCGGUGGGCCAGACAGAGAAACCAGGAACACUGAGGCCUAGGAGUUAGAAACCAGAAGCCGACAAAGAUUAAAAUCACAGAAUAGUGGUGAGAUGCCACAGCGCCGUGAUCCUACCUGAAUAAAAUGCAAUUAGAUGCACUCAGUCCUGCACCUUGGUUAACCUUACGUAACUUCUUCCUAUUACAUCACUAAGAACAAUCGCUUUUAAUGGGUCCAGCACUGGACCAGUGAGGCAAGCAAAUCUCACACGCUAUGAUGCUACACCUAAAUAGCUUUCCCCAUGGAAAUACUGGCCUGAGUAGGAGCCAAAAAUAAACCCAAAAGCCAA